UACGAAGGGGGCUAGCGUUGCUCGGAAUUACUGGGCGUAAAGGGCGCGUAGGCGGAUAGUUUAGUCAGAGGUGAAAGCCCAGGGCUUAACCUUGGAAUUGCCUUUGAUACUGGCUAUCUUGAGUUCGGGAGAGGUGAGUGGAAUGCCGAGUGUAGAGGUGAAAUUCGUAGAUAUUCGGCGGAACACCAGUGGCGAAGGCGACUCACUGGCCCGAUACUGACGCUGAGGCGCGAAAGCGUGGGGAGCAAACAGGG
rnacentral:rRNA from 1 species